rnacentral:lncRNA from 1 species
UACACGAUAUUAGCCAGCAAGGAACUGUGAGUUAACAUGUGAGGACGUGGUCAGAGAGACGACACCACCACACAUGUACAUGUUACAUGUUAGUAUUGUUACGCAUGUUACAUGUACAUGUCAUGUACGUGUAGACAGAUGUACAUACACAUGUACAUGAUAUUAGCCAGCAAGGAACUGUGAGUUAACAUGUGAGGACGUGGUCAGAGAGACGACACCACCACCCAUGUACAUGUACGACUGUACGUGUAGAGUUUAGACACAUGUACAUGAUAUUACCCACCGAGGAACUGAGUUUACGUGUGAAGACACAGCCACAUGGAUGACAUCACCACCCAUGUACAUUAUAAUACAUGUAGGUGGGUGUACUUGUACACGACAUCACCUGCCUAGGAACUGUGAUGUAAGUUAAGGUGUGAAGACGUGGUCACAGAGACAACAUCACCGCCCAGGUUUGCUUCCGCAACAAGCAGUUCACCACAUGCACUCAUGACAUUGCCCAAUAAGGAACUGUGAGUCAUGUAACAUCUUUGUUGCUGACACACACACAGCCGACGACCUCCAUGGGAGUUACGCUUCGUAGCAGUAGCACGCAUCUGUAUUCACGUAGCAUCCGUCACACACACACACGCACGGAGAAUGAAGUGUCUAUAGAACAUUGACGAAGGCGGCCCUGAACUGCUGAAGCUUACCUGACAGAAAUGCCUGCGGUCAGUGGUCAUCAGCAUUGUAAAAACGCAAGGCGGAGUAUCAACCAAGCCAGAAGAUGGCUGGAAAUAGAUUCCAAAUUGUUAUUUUGGUUUCCGUUGACGAAUAAGUUUUGUUCUGGUGAACAGCUAUAUCGUACUAUGAAUGUGGCUAAUGUUUGAUUUUGUAUUUCUUAACUUUUGAUUGACAUUCAGCUGUACAAAGCCAACAUGUAUAUUUCCAAAAUAGUUUUGGCCGUGUGCACAGCUAUUAUCCUGAGCAGUCAGGAUUACGAGGUUUCAUGAGAGUCUUACGGCUCCGCACACGGUGCGCAUUCGGCGCACGCCAACAACGCUGCACACAAGUCACGCAUGCGCAUUGCUUGGGUUGUGUGCGCAAGUGGCGCACGCGCCUAAUUCGCACCGUGUGCGCGGGUCUUUACGUUUGGCUCUGAAGAUAGUGACAUAGGCAUGACUCUUUGCAUUCCUGGUGUUGUGUGAUACAAUGGUAAAUUUAUCCUUCUUUACUGCGUUCAGAAUGGUCUCAUAGAAGCCUUGCUGUUCCACACAUUUUGCAUUUCAUGGCCACAUGUGCAUUCGCUUGAUUUAGCUAAAUAGUCGUCACAUUCACAUCACAUUUUAGAGAUCCUGAAGUCCAUGUUGUUUCUCAUCGGAAUCGUACUGUCUUACGUACUCCGCGCCUUUGUGUGUCUGUCAUUCUCUUUCCCUUGUAAUUCCUCCUAAAUGUAAGUGUGAUGUGAUAACGAGCUGCUACUAGUGAUUAUUGCGCAUUAUUGUGAAAAUGCAUUCCCUAAAACUAAUGGGCAACAUUGAUGUCACUUAUGUCGUAAUAUCUCUCAAGUGAUGAAAAGAAAAUUAAAAAUUAAUUGUUGGUCGGCGGAUCUGUGACACGGGUUUCAGAUUAUGUGUGAACGAGUCAUGUUAAGAUGGUAUCGGAAUGUAAAAAAAAUACUCGUGUUUCGAAGAACAUAUAGCUGUUGACUAGAACCAAACUUCUCCUUUAAUAGACAUGCAUAAUGUUUACAGUUAACCCUCGAUUAUCCGAACGAGACGGGCGGGGAGUAUUUUGUUCGGAUAACUGAUUGUUCGGAUAACUGAUCUGCUCGUAUUAUCGUUAAAUAUUCGCGGGACCUUGAGAUCUUGUUCGGAUAAUCCGAAAUUCGGAUAAUUGAUGUUCGGAUAGCCGAGGUUUGACUGUAUAUCUAGGCAGAGGAGUCGGAGGUUUUUCACAGAUUAUUUACAAAAUUGCGUAGCACCCCUAACAGUGGCUUCAGUUACUUAUGACUUAUUAUGGUUGACUUUAUGGGACCCCGUGUAAACACCUGUGUAACACUAGAGUUUGUUGUGCUUAUCGUAAAAUCUAAUUUUUAUAGAUUGACGUGAAGUGAUUAUUGCUUCAAAUUGUUGCCUUUUUUGAGCAAGUCCUGCUGACAGUUUCCAUGGCAUGUCGAACUGUUUUAGCUUGUUCACGCUGAAUCAAUUGCCCACACAAUCUUAUGCUGAGUUUUAAAUUCUGACUGCUUGGUAGUAAACCGUUUAAUUAAUAACUCGGUAUAUAUACACUGUGAUAUGUAGGCUAUUUAAUGUGAAAAUUAGUCCAUGGUCCCAAAUGUCUAGCAGUUAUGAUUCUUGUGAACAUGUAGUGUAUAGAAGUUGUGUUGUUGAUGUGACUCGUCUGUUUUGCCGUGUAUGAAUUCACACACGUCUUCUGGUUAUGAUGCAGGCGAUGAAUAUUGGCCUGCGAUGUAUCCAAAUUUCAAAAAGCUCCACUUCGCUGCUCAUCUUAGGGUUAUUGAGAAUAUUCAGGAAUUUUUACCUCCGCCAGGAGCGUGGCGGGGGUUAUGUUUUCACCGGCGAGUUUUUGAGUGUUGGUUUGUGUGUUACCAUGCACGUUUCAGUUCACUUCCGCUAGGUGCGCUGGCUGUAGACUUACAAACACGCAACCACAAGCUAAGGGGCAACCACAGUCCUCCCCCACCUGCACGCUCGCACUAAUCCGGAUCCAAUUAAUUUAUUAAUUUUUCCACUUAAUUAAUUAAUUAAUAAAAAAUUCCACAUUGAGAGAAUUCAGCUGCCUUGGCGGAGGUCUGUGCUCUCCGAGUGCUCUAGUUAAUAAUGCAAUCAUGUCUGCAGUAAGUAUAUCUGAUACAAUGAGGCUGUGCAAAUUCAAUGAUAAAUUGUUAAUUGUGGUAAUACGUAUGGUGCAAGAGUCUGUGAAGUAUAACUAAUGAAUGUGUAUGUCUGUCUGUAUUCUUGUGUAUGGUUUACCAGCUGUAAAUACAGGUACAUAUAAUUUGCAAGGAUUCCGUACAAAUUGAAGCUGUAUUUUUUUAAGUGUUAGCAGUAUUUGCCGGCUGCAUAAUAUAUUGUGCAUUUUGUUUAUUACCCAUGCGUGUAAAGUGCGCAAAAUCAGGAAUCAUUAAAAACAAAUGUUUUUAUUCACUACUGAUAAAAUGAUUUUCUGUUUGUGAAGCUUUUCUGAAUUUUAAAUUGUUUUGUAAAUUAUUUCAAGACCCUUGAUGGCCUAUUGACCAGUGGAUUAUCUCGGCAAGAAAUAAUAAUAUCAACAGUAAAAUAAAAAUAGUUUAUUGUUUACCUAAGUGCACACUUUAGUUCAAACGGUUGUAUCAUUUGCGUGUUUUCUUCACAUUUAUCUCUUCUUUGUUACAUAUUUUGAACACAUUUUGUGAUUUUAAGUGUUUAUAUUCUUUACGUGUAAAUAAACUACGUACAAACA